GUAGUCUGCAACCCGACUACAUGAAGCUGGAAUCGCUAGUAAUCGCGGAUCAGAAUGCCGCGGUGAAUACGUUCCCGGGUCUUGUACACACCGCCCGUCACACCAUGGGAGUCGGAAAUGCCCGAAGCCGGUGACUCAACCUUUAAGGAGAGAGCCGUCGAAGGCAGGUCUGAUAACUGGGGUGAAGUCGUAACAAGGUAUC
rnacentral:rRNA from 1 species